rnacentral:rRNA from 1 species
AUUGAACGCUGGCGGCAUGCUUUACACAUGCAAGUCGAACGGCAGCGCGGGCUUCGGCCUGGCGGCGAGUGGCGAACGGGUGAGUAAUGCAUCGGAACGUGCCCAGUAGUGGGGGAUAGCCCGGCGAAAGCCGGAUUAAUACCGCAUACGACCUGAGGGUGAAAGCGGGGGACCGAAAGGCCUCGCGCUAUUGGAGCGGCCGAUGUCGGAUUGGCUAGUUGGUGGGGUAAAGGCUUACCAAGGCGACGGUCCGUAGCUGGUCUGAGAGGACGACCAGCCACACUGGGACUGAGACACGGCCCAGACUCCUACGGGAGGCAGCAGUGGGGAAUUUUGGACAAUGGGGGCAACCCUGAUCCAGCCAUGCCGCGUGCGGGAAGAAGGCCUUCGGGUUGUAAACCGCUUUUGUUCGGGAAGAAAUCCUCUGGGCUAAUACCCCGGGGGGAUGACGGUACCGGAAGAAUAAGCACCGGCUAACUACGUG